rnacentral:misc_RNA from 1 species
CGCACAUUGCGCCCGUUAGUAUUCUAGCGGGCAUGCCUGUUCGAGCGUCAUUUCAACCCUCAGGCACUGUUCUGCCUGGUGUUGGGGCCUCUACAGCGCGCACGCGCUGUAGUCCCUCAAAGUCAGUGGCGGGCUCGCUACGGCUCCGAGCGCAGUAGAUUAUCAUUUCUCGCUAUGGAGGUCCGUGGCGGGCUACCAGCCGUCAAGACGGAGCCCCCGGGCUUCACCCCACUAUAUGGUUGACCUCGGAUCAGGUAGGAUUACCCGCUGAACUUAA